UUCUCAAUGAUUUCUGAAUAAAUACGUUAUAUUUUUAUUUUUUUGAUCAAUAAUUUAUUUGAUAUAUUGUUCUUGAUUUAUUGUAUUACUUUAUGUUUCAGUAGUAUCACGAAUAAUGUUAGAUUAUUUUAUCCUAACAAGUAGCAAAAAUUGUAAAAACUUAUUAAAUCAUUGUGAAAACGUAUUAAUCAUAUGUAAAAGUGUUAAAAUAUUUAUGAAGUAAUGUAUUAAAAUUUAUAAAUUAGUUUAAAGGCUUAUAUCAAUUUAAAAUAAUGUAUAAAUGAUAAUAAAUAUUUUAAAAUAUUUAAUGACUUUUAGUGAUAAAACC
rnacentral:lncRNA from 1 species